UCGACUGCUUAAUUGACUAAGCCACCCAGGUGCCCACCAACGGUCAGUGAUUUAAUCAGCCAUGCCUAUGUAAUGAAGCCUCUAUAAAAACCCCAAAAGGAGAGGGUUUGGAGAGCUUUGGGGCUGGUAGUGGUUCUGGGAGAGUGGGGCACCCUAGAGAGAGUGUGGAAGCUCAACAUCUUCCCCCAUCCCUUGUGCUUGCCAUCUCUUCCAUCGGGCUGUUCCUGAAUUAUAUCCUUUCAUAUAAACUGGUGAUCUGAUGGAAAAGGAUCUGUCUUGGCACUCAGGCUGCCAGGUCUGUUCUGAGCUCCAAUCUACCUAGCAACAAUCUGAAUCACUUAGGAUUCUUGGUCAUAAGUCUGAGAAAACUCCACUGCAUUAAGCCCAGUGGGGACUUUAUUGGCUCAUCGGACUGGAAAGUUGAACGAGAGGAGCCAGAUUCCCAUGCAGCUGGACGCUGAGGAUCAUCAGGUGACUGUAGCAUCACUGCCUGCCACCUGCAGUAUCGUGAGCCCAAGGAUGCCCGUCCCCUGAGGUCCUUAUGGAACAUAGGGAUGAUGAAGAUAAUUGGUGGCUGAGACAAGACAGACCAGCAGUUUCUUCUCUUUGUGAUGGAUUCUGAUUAACGGCCGAAGUGAUCAUGUGUCCAUUUGCUUUGAUGGUUGAGAUGACCAAAGCUAUCCAUUCAUCUUUGCUGCUGUCUCGUUUGCAUGAGCAGGUAAGACCUAGCAUUGGUGCCAUUCGACUCCAGGCUAAACUCUCUUGUACUCUGUGGGAGAACAGCUAUCCUUCUGUAUUAUAAGAGAUAUGUUAUAUCCCAUAACUAACAUCAA